GUGCUAUGAUGACAUCCAACUGUGAUUUCCUCAAACUGAUAAUUCAAUGAGGACAUUAAAUUCCUUGGCUGUGUCUGAGCAU